GACAGGGGUGGCAAGCGUUGUUCGGAGUAACUGGGCGUAAAGGGUCUGUAGGUGGUUUGUCAAGUCUUUGGUAAAACGCCGUGGCUCAACCAUGGUUUGGCCAUGGAGGCUGGGAGAGGGAAGCGGAAUUUCUGGUGUAGCGGUGAAAUGCGUAGAGAUCAGAAAGAAGGCCGGUGGCGAAGGCGGCUUCCUGGAACAGACCUGACACUGAGAGACGAAAGCGUGGGGAGCAAACAGG
rnacentral:rRNA from 1 species